AGGGUUGAUAGGUUAAGAGCUGAGUUACUGGACGUUACCCACAGAAGAAGCACCGGCUAACUCCGUGCCAGCAGCCGCGGUAAUACGGAGGGUGCGAGCGUUAAUCGGAAUUACUGGGCGUAAAGCGUGCGUAGGUGGUUGAAUAAGUUAUCUGUGAAAUUCCCGGGCUCAACCUGGGACGGUCAGGUAAGACUGUUUGACUCGAGUAUGGGAGAGGGUAGUGGAAUUUCCGGUGUAGCGGUGAAAUGCGUAGAGAUCGGAAGGAACACCGGUGGCGAAGGCGGCUACCUGGCCUAAUACUGACACUGAGGCACGAAAGCGUGGGGAGCAAACAGGAUUAGAUACCCUGGUAGUCCACGCUGUAAACGAUGUCAACUAGCUGUUGG
rnacentral:rRNA from 1 species